AGAGUUUGAUCAUGGCUCAGGACGAACGCUGGCGGCGCGCCUAACACAUGCAAGUCGAACGAGAGAUGAGGAGCUUGCUUUUCAAAUCGAGUGGCGAACGGGUGAGUAACGCGUGAGGAACCUGCCUCAAAGAGGGGGACAACAGUUGGAAACGACUGCUAAUACCGCAUAAGCCCACGGCUCGGCAUCGAGCAGGGGGAAAAGAGUGAUCCGCUUUGAGAUGGCCUCGCGUCCGAUUAGCUAGUUGGUGAGGUAAUGGCCCACCAAGGCGACGAUCGGUAGCCGGACUGAGAGGUUGAACGGCCACAUUGGGACUGAGACACGGCCCAGACUCCUACGGGAGGCA
rnacentral:rRNA from 1 species